rnacentral:lncRNA from 1 species
CAGACACAACCUAGAAUAGAUCUACAAGGAGAACCUGCUGAAUAGCAUUGAGAACUAUGUCUAGAUACUCAUGUUGCAACAGAAGAAAGGGUGGGGGAAAAACUGUAACUGCAAUGUAUACAUGUAAGGAUAACCUGACCCCCUUGCUGUACAGUGGGAAAAAAAAAAAAUCUCAAGGAAAAAUAAUUUAAAGUUGCGGGAGACCAAAAUAUCAAUGUCAAGAUUUCCAGAUCUUAAACAGACAGUAUUAUUAUGUAGUAUCUUAAUUUGUAUGAUGUGAGGGAUGAAAUAAACUCAUUCCUUUCUGUCAGCACCUUUGUACCUAUUACAGUGCUAGGUGAGGCUUUUAAACUCCUUCAAGUCAUAAGCACAAUAGUCAAUAAAUUAUGGAAUUUGAAAAAUGUUAAGAAUUUGAAAAACGUCUUAUUCAGAUGAAUAUGAUUAUCUCCAGUGUGUAAUAAGAAUAUCAUCUUGGGAAUUCUGUGGUGGAUCAGUGGGUUAAAGAUCCAGUGAUGUCACUGCUGUGGUGCGGGUUUGAACCCUGGCCUGGGAACUUCCAUGUGCCAUGAGCUAACUUAAAUGUCCUGAUUGCUCCAGUUUCCUUCCCUACCACUUUCUCUCCAUGUUUCUCUUAUUAUCCCAUGCUCCAGCUACACACAUCUUGUCAUUCCCACAUCACAUUGUGCCUACAUACGUAUGGACAUCUGACUCAUUCUGCCUGGAACACCCAUUCCCUUCAUUGACACGGAACAACUCAUUUAUUUUUCAAGGCCAAGUUCAUGUAUUACUUCCUCUGUGAAACCUUACUUUAUAUUCCCAGGUACAGUCGAGUUAUUCUCUCUUUAUUAGCUGUGGUACACCAGCUUCAGUAACAAAGAUAUCCCCAAAUUUUAUAAUAUUAGCACUGAAUAAAUAUUUUCUGUGUCUUUUAACAUUUGUGAGAGAUUUUUCAGGUUGAUGAAUAGCUUUUCUGUCUUUAGUCAUGCAUGGUCUAAGCUGAGAAAGCACUCCUAUCCUCAGAACAUGACUUUCCUGUUGCCCUGAAUGUCAAUAUCCUAGGCAGCUAGAAAGAGGAAAGAGCAGGGAGGAGCUUGCAUGGGUAGUUUUAGGAUUUAUAUCUGAAAAUUGGGUAUGUAACUUAGGUUCAAAUUUUAUGUGAGACAACAUAUUCCCUUGGCCACACCUAGCUACACUGGGUGCAAGACUGUGGUCUAGUUGUGUGUCCAAGAAGGGAAAAAAAAUGUUUAUGGAGAGAUGUAAUUUCUGCCAUGUCCUCCUAGAGGGUUCCCAUAACACUACUUAAGCACAUUUCCAUUUGUAAUGCAAUUACCUUUUUGUAUGUUUACCUCUCUCAAUAAUAUGGUCCUAAAGUGUGGGUUUUUUGAGAACUGAGACUUUUGUUGGUAUUCAUAACUCAUUCCAUCAAUAGUGUUUAGUAAAUGUCUGCUGUGCAGCAGUGUCUCAGUACAUAUUACAGUGCUCAAUGCAUGUUUAUUAAAUUAAUAUAUGUAUGAAUUAGUGAAUGAAUAUUGACAUUAUCACAAUUGAGUUCUGGUCAUGCAGUACUAUUGUCCUUUCUUUCUAUAAAAUUCACACUGUUGCUUGAAUUGCUAUCUUUCUUCUAUAGAAAUUCAUUUUUAACAUUUUGAUAACAAUAUUAUUCUAUGUGGCAGUGUAAAUAUUUCCAAAUUAAUUAAAUAGCAGCUUAUGAUAUUAUAGACUAGGGAUUGACAAGCUUUUUCUGCAAAGGGUCGUAUAAUAAACAUUUUUAGACUUUGUAAGGCACAUACAAUCUCUGUCAUAACCUCUGAACCUUGACUUUGUAAUGUUGGCUUCCUGGCUUAGCCUAUGGCAGGCCAUAGAUUACUAACCUCUGGCAUGGGGUAAUAUAUGCUAAAAUAUAAAAGCACUGGCCAUUUCUGUAGCCAAAAGAUAUAUAAAAAUAACAAAUAGUUUUAAUGAUUACUUAGAAAGUCAAUAUAAAAAAAUUUGGUUGGCUGAAGCAAGAUGGCAAAGACUCAAUUUUCCUUGUUUCUCAGCUCUAAAUGAAACUAGAUACUAUAUAACAAAGGAGCACAAAAAUGGAGAAAGCAAAAUGUAGACUGACUAGAUAGCCCAGAACUUGGAGAAGGAUACUAUAGUGAGCUCUCUGGGUUUUCCUUUUAUCUUCCAUGUAUCCUAGACUAGAGAGUCUUGCAAUCCAGAAACACCAAAGUGGUAGACAAAAUAACACUCAAAAUUUGCUCUCUCUGGCCGAAGGACUGAAAAAGGGGAAAUCCAGCACGGACUUAAUGGGAAGACCCAUACCUUUUGGCAGUGGCAGAACUGAUUCUCUAGAAUUUGUGGCAAACGUGGAUUGACUCAGGAGGUGAUGGCCCACUGCAUUCCCCAUACCUGCUGGAAGAAGUGGGUUCAAUCUGCCCACAGUGGUAACAGCAGACAAUUCCAUCCAUACCCAAUACUAAGAGGUAACAAUUGGAGUUCCUGUCAUGGCUCCAAUUGGAAGUGGAUCUGACUAGCGCCCAUGAAAAUGCGGAUUCAAUCCCUGGCCUUGCUUAGUGGGUUAAGGAUCUGGUGUUGCCAUGAGCUGUGGUGUAGGUCACAGAUGCAGCUUGGAUCCUGUGUUGCUGUGGCUGUGACAUAAACUGGCAGCUGCAGCUCCAAUUCGACUCCUAGCCUGGGAACCUCCAGAUGCCGUGGGUGUGGCCCUAAAAAAAAGGACAAAAAUAAAAGGUAACAAUUAGUCCCCUCUGCUCACCCUAGAGGCACCAGUGUGCCAGGUGUCUUCUGGACCUCCACUCAGCAGAAUGUGACUCAAGGCUGGCAUAUCUUGGCCUUCCUCCAAUGGCAGAGAGCCACUUUGGCUUGGUGGGGCCAGCCUCUCCAUCUAGUUUCAGGAGGCCCAGCUGAGCACUUUCCUUCCCUGAAGGCAAAAACAGAAAUAUAGUGGGAAGUCCAUCAGUAGGCAUCCAGUGAGAGAACAGGUCAGGGAAAAUACUCUCCACCCUGUGGCUCUGGCACACCCGCUUUACACCUAGAAGCACUGGGUAGCAUAGCAGGGAUCCAGCAGGAGCUCAAGCAGGCGCAGAAGAAAGAAAAACCAAAAUAGCACCAUAAGAACUCACAAAUCUCAAUUGUCACUGGAACUACAGGUCACAAAAGUAAAUAAUCUGCCUGAUAAACCUAAACAAGGUGACUGCUUGCUAAAUUCAAAGAUUUAUGUAGGAUCAAGAAUCUCCUAACAUCUAAAAUAUACAAAAUAUGAUAAAAAAAUCACACAUCAUGCCAAGGGCCAGGGAAAAAAUCACAACUGGAAUGAAAAAAAAAAUGAUGGGAACACUAAGAUGAAUUAGAAGUUGGAACGACCUGACAAACAUUUUAAAGCUGCAGAUUUCUUCAAUGAGUAGUUAUAAAUUGUCUCAAAACAAAUUAAAACAAGAAAAAUCUCAGCAAAGGAAGAGAAGUUAUAGAAAGGAGCAAAUAGAAAUGAUAGAACUAAAAAUAUUAUAACAAAAACUCAUUUGAUGAGAUGACUAAUAAGAGUGACUAUGUAGAAAAUAUAAUCUGAACUGGAGAGGAGAUAAAUAGAAUUUACCCAGUCUGAACAAUGGAGAGAAGACAUCCUGACCAAAAAACAAACAAACAGAUGAAAAAACCCCACGGGGGACUAUGGGAAAAUUACAAAAAAAUUAACAUUUACAAAUCUCAAAGUGCUUGUGA